GGGAGGCGGGGAAGCGGCUGUCGGGCGCUUAAAGCGCCCGAGGAAGUUCCCCCCUCCCUCUAAAAGCGCCGCGGCGUAAGCCGCUGGGGGGAGACCCCCAGCUCCGGGAACAGAAACGGAACGUCCCCGCAUCAAUGAUGAUGACGCGGUGAAGGGAGCUGGCAACGGCUCCCGAGCUAACCCGUCGAAGAGGUGCGGGGAAGCGGUGAAACGGCCCGACGGCGCGGGAGCAAGCGAAGGCUACCGCUGAUGAGAUGAGGCGGUAGCUUAGCGCUUAGUAGAAUGCCGCGACCGGAGUGCCGCCUCUUAGGGGCGGCUCCGGGAUACAGAAGGGGGGCUAUCCCCGCCACCC
rnacentral:RNase_P_RNA from 1 species